CCCCCCCCCAUGUGUGUAGGACCCCAAAGGAUCACCAUUAAAGUUGGCACAGAUCUCUAGAAAAGUUAUCACAUAGGUGUGGGACUUCACUUUUCUAUAGAUCCGUGCCAAAUUUAAUGGUGAUCCUUUGGGGUCCUACACACAUGGGUAGGAG
rfam:Amborella trichopoda AMTR_V1.0_contig_35353, whole genome shotgun sequence.